rnacentral:rRNA from 1 species
AACGUACGCUGGCGGCACGCCUAACACAUGCAAGUCGAACGCAGUAGCAAUACUGAGUGGCAGACGGGUGAGUAACAUGUGGGAAUCUGCCUUGUGGUUCAGGACAACAUUGGGAAACCGAUGCUAAUACUGGAUAAGCCCUUACGGGGAAAGUUUUAAUGCCAUAAGAUGAGCCCGCAUUUGAUUAGUUAGUUGGUGAGGUAAUGGCUCACCAAGACAAUGAUCAAUAGCUGAACUGAGAUGAUGAUCAGCCACACUGGGACUGAGACACGGCCCAGACUCCUACGGGAGGCAGCAGUGGGGAAUCUUGCACAAUGGAGGAAACUCUGAUGCAGCGAUGCCGCGUGAGUGAAGAAGGCCUUUGGGUUGUAAAGCUCUUUUGUAGGGGAAGAUAAUGACUGUACCCUAAGAAUAAGGUCCGGCUAACUUCGUGCCAGCAGCCGCCGUAA